rnacentral:siRNA from 1 species
AGAUUGAAUGAGAUCAAGGUGGAU